rnacentral:rRNA from 1 species
AGUGAACGCUGGCGGCGUGCCUAAUACAUGCAAGUCGAACGGAGAUUAAGUAGAUUGCUAUUUAAUCUUAGUGGCGCACGGGUGGGUAAUAUAUAGCUAAAUUUCCCAUUACUAAGGGACAACAGUUGGAAACGACUGCUAAUACCUUAUACUCCGUAUCUAUAUAAGUAGAUAAGGGAAAGUUUUUCGGUAAUGGAUAGGGCUAUAUCGUAUCAGCUAGUUGGUAAGGUAAUGGCUUACCAAGGCUAUGACGCGUAACUGGUCUGAGAGGAUGAUCAGUCACACUGGAACUGAGACACGGUCCAGACUCCUACGGGAGACAGCAGUAGGGAAUAUUGCUCAAUGGGGGAAACCCUGAAGCAGCAACGCCGCGUGGAGGAUGACACUUUUCGGAGCGUAAACUCCUUUUCUUGGGAAAGAAUUAUGACGGUACCCAAGGAAUAAGCACCGGCUAACUCCGUG